AACGGAAAGGCCCCUUUGGGGGUACUCGAGUGGCGAACGGGUGAGUAACACGUGAGUAACCUGCCCUUGACUUCGGGAUAACUUCAGGAAACUGGGGCUAAUACCGGAUAGGAAUCCUUGCUGCAUGGUGGGGGUUGGAAAGCUUCGGCGGUUUUGGAUGGACUCGCGGCUUAUCAGCUUGUUGGUGGGGUAGUGGCUUACCAAGGCUUUGACGGGUAGCCGGCCUGAGAGGGCGACCGGCCACAUUGGGACUGAGAUACGGCCCAGACUCCUACGGGAGGCAGCAGUGGGGAAUAUUGCACAAUGGGCGGAAGCCUGAUGCAGCAACGCCGCGUGCGGGAUGACGGCCUUCGGGUUGUAAACCGCUUUCAGCAGGGGCGAAGCUUUUGUGACGGUACCUGCAGAAGAAGCACCGGCUAACUACGUGCCAGCAGCCGCGGUGAUACGUAGGGUGCGAGCGUUGUCCGGAUUUAUUGGGCGUAAAGAGCUCGUAGGUGGUUGAUUGCGUCGGAAGUGAAAACUUGGGGCUUAACCCUGAGCGUGCUUUCGAUACGGGUUGACUUGAGGAAGGUAGGGGAGAAUGGAAUUCCUGGUGGAGCGGUGGAAUGCGCAGAUAUCAGGAGGAACACCAGUGGCGAAGGCGGUUCUCUGGACCUUUCCUGACGCUGAGGAGCGAAAGCGUGGGGAGCGAACAGGCUUAGAUACCCUGGU
rnacentral:rRNA from 1 species